UACGUAGGGGGCAAGCGUUGUCCGGAAUUAUUGGGCGUAAAGAGCGCGUAGGCGGUCCGAUAAGUCGGCUAUGAAAGUCAGGGGCUCAACCCUUGGAAGCCGGCCGAUACUGUCGGACUAGAGUCCGGAAGAGGCGAGUGGAAUUCCCGGUGUAGCGGUGAAAUGCGCAGAUAUCGGGAGGAACACCAAUGGCGAAGGCAGCUCGCUGGGACGGUACUGACGCUGAGGCGCGAAAGCGUGGGGAGCAAACAGG
rnacentral:rRNA from 1 species